GUCGAGCGGUAAGGCUCCUUCGGGAGCACACGAGCGGCAAACGGGGUAGUAAGGCGUCGAAACGUACCCCCAGGACCGGGAUAGCCACGGGAAACUGUGGAUAAUACCGGAUAAUCUCUGCGGAGCAAAUGGAAUCCGCCUGGGGAGCGGUUGACGUGGUAUUAGCUAGUUGGUGAGGUAACGGCUCACCAAGGCGAAGAUGGCUAGGGGGUGUGAGAGCAUGGCCCCCACCACCGGGACUGAGACACUGCCCGGACACCUACGGGUGGCUGCAGUCGAGAAUCUUCGGCAAUGGGCGCAAGCCUGACCGAGCGACGCCGCGUGCGGGACGACGGCCUUCGGGUUGUAAACCGCUGUCAGGGGGGAGGAAAGCUUCGGCUUGACCGAGCCCCAGAGGAAGCACGGGCUAAGUACGUGCCAGCGGCCGCGGUAACACGUACUGUGCGAACGUUAUUCGGAAUCACUGGGCUUAAAGGGUGCGUAGGCGGUCUGUCAAGUCGGAUGUGAAAUCUCACGGCUCAACCGUGAGGCUGCGUUCGAAACUGAGGGGCUUGAGAAAGCUAGGGGUGUGUGGAACUGCCAGUGGAGCGGUGAAAUGUGUUGAGAUUGGCAGGAACACCGGUGGCGAAAGCGACACACUGGGGCUUUACUGACGCUGAGGCACGAAAGCCAGGGGAGCGAACGGGAUUAGAUACCCCGGUAGUCCUGGCUGUAAACGUUGGGCACUAGUCGAAGGGACGUUCCGUCCACUUGGACGCAGCGAAAGCAUUAAGUGCCCCGCCUGGGGAGUAUGGUCGCAAGGCUGAAACUCAAAGGAAUUGACGGGGGCUCACACAAGCUGUUGGAGCAUGUGGCUUAUUUGAGGCAACGCGAAGAACCCUACCCAGGUUGACUACGUG
rnacentral:rRNA from 1 species